UCUUGGGGAUUAGUGGCGAACGGGUGAGUAACACGUGAGUAACCUGCCCUUGACUCUGGGAUAACCUCCGGAAACGGAAGCUAAUACCGGAUAUGACGUACGGAGGCAUCUCCUGUACGUGGAAAGAAUUUCGGUCAAGGAUGGACUCGCGGCCUAUCAGGUAGUUGGUGAGGUAACGGCCCACCAAGCCUACGACGGGUAGCCGGCCUGAGAGGGUGACCGGCCACACUGGGACUGAGACACGGCCCAGACUCCUACGGGAGGCAGCAGUGGGGAAUAUUGCACAAUGGGCGCAAGCCUGAUGCAGCAACGCCGCGUGAGGGACGACGGCCUUCGGGUUGUAAACCUCUUUUAGUAGGGAAGAAGCGAAAGUGACGGUACCUGCAGAAAAAGCACCGGCUAACUACGUGCCAGCAGCCGCGGUAAUACGUAGGGUGCAAGCGUUGUCCGGAAUUAUUGGGCGUAAAGAGCUCGUAGGCGGUUUGUCGCGUCUGCUGUGAAAUCCCGAGGCUCAACCUCGGGCCUGCAGUGGGUACGGGCAGACUAGAGUGCGGUAGGGGAGAUUGGAAUUCCUGGUGUAGCGGUGGAAUGCGCAGAUAUCAGGAGGAACACCGAUGGCGAAGGCAGAUCUCUGGGCCGUAACUGACGCUGAGGAGCGAAAGCGUGGGGAGCGAACAGGAUUAGAUACCCUGGUAGUCCACGCCGUAAACGUUGGGAACUAGAUGUGGGGACCAUUCCACGGUCUCCGUGUCGCAGCUAACGCAUUAAGUUCCCCGCCUGGGGAGUACGGCCGCAAGGCUAAAACUCAAAGGAAUUGACGGGGGCCCGCACAAGCGGCGGAACAUGCGGAUUAAUUCGAUGCAACGCGAAGAACCUUACCAAGACUUGACAUAUACGAGAACGGGCCAGAAAUGGUCAACUCUUUGGACACUCGUAAACAGGUGGUGCAUGGUUGUCGUCAGCUCGUGUCGUGAGAUGUUGGGUUAAGUCCCGCAACGAGCGCAACCCUCGUUCUAUGUUGCCAGCACGUAAUGGUGGGAACUCAUAGGAGACUGCCGGGGUCAACUCGGAGGAAGGUGGGGAUGACGUCAAAUCAUCAUGCCCCUUAUGUCUUGGGCUUCACGCAUGCUACAAUGGCCGGUACAAAGGGCUGCAAUACCGUAAGGUGGAGCGAAUCCCAAAAAGCCGGUCUCAGUUCGGAUUGAGGUCUGCAACUCGACCUCAUGAAGUCGGAGUCGCUAGUAAUCGCAGAUCAGCAACGCUGCGGUGAAUACGUUCCCGGGCCUUGUACACACCGCCCGUCAAGUCAUGAAAGUCGGUAACACCCGAAGCC
rnacentral:rRNA from 1 species